AACGAACGCUGGCGGCAGGCCUAACACAUGCAAGUCGAACGCCCCGCAAGGGGAGUGGCAGACGGGUGAGUAACACGUGGGAACGUGCCCAAGGGUGCGGAAUAUUCCCGGGAAACUGGGAGCAAUACCGAAUGUGUCCGCAAGGAGAAAGAUUUAUCGCCUUUGGAUCGGCCAGCGUCGGAUUAGCUAGUUGGUGGGGUAAAAGCCUACCAAGGCGACGUUCCGUAACGGGUUUGAGAGAACGACCAACCACACUGGGCCUGAGAAACGGCCCAGGCUCCUACGGGAGGCAUCAGUGGGGAAUCUUGGACAAUGGGCGCAAGCCUGAUCAAGCCAUGCCGCGUGGAUGAUGAAGGCCCUAGGGUUGUAAAAUCCUUUCGUUGGGGACGAUAAUGACGGUACCCAAAGCAGAAGCUCCGGCUAACUUCGUGCCAGCAGCCGCAGUAACAC
rnacentral:rRNA from 1 species